AAGUAGCAUGGCCCCUGUGCAAGAAUGACCCUCAAACUCAUGAAACAUUCCAUAUUUUA
rnacentral:snRNA from 14 species